GUCUGCUUACUACGCGCCGGAGAACACGUAGCCUAGUCCCAGUACGUAAGAAGAAAAAAUGGCAUGCGGUUACUAAACUAUAAACAGACAGAGAUUCAGUUCUUGAUCACGUUAUGGGACGUCCCAAGUUAACUCCUAUUUAAGAAACGAAAGAAGUAGAGGAGAGAGAUGAAGAGGAGGAGGAGGGAGGAAGAUUCACAAGCCAGUGGAUCAAAACCAGCAAAUGCGGAGAAACUUGUUAAAUGGAACAGUAUGCGUGAUCUGAAACCAGACUUCUCUCAUGAUGCAGAAAAACCUGAGAGUCAUUCUGAUGUAUCUCAAUCAAAGACGAGUGUCCUCCAGCAGAUCAUCUGAACACCAACAAGACAAACCUCUAUGAAUCUCUCACGUUUCUUCAAAUGGAGCUGAAGUAGUUCAUUGGGCCUGGGCCCGGCUCCAUCCAAUCAGGAGCUUGGUCCACACCCUGGUCCCACGCCUAAUAACAACCGGCUGCAAAAAUGCUGCACUGUUCAAUUCAGCUCCAGAUUUUGAGGGAGAUUUAGCUCUUUGGCAGCUUGGUAUGAAAACCCCACUUGUUAUUUAGAAAGUAGAGAGAAUGUAAGUCUUUAAGGGAAUUUUCUGUAUUGAUUUUUUACAGGUGUACUUGGAAUUUUGCAUUUCAUUGCAUUGUCUUUUAGGGUUGUCCGUAGAAUUAAUGGAUAAUGUCCUGGCACAAGGAUUUUUUUUUUUAAACAGUACUUGCUGUUUUCUCUGCGCACACAGAGAGCACAUAUCAGACAUUACUGAACUGAAUUCACUUUCGGGUCUCAUCAUGCUUAGACAUAUACAACCAAAAUUAAGUGAAA